rnacentral:tRNA from 1 species
GGGCGAUUAGCACAGGGUUAGCGCACUUCCUUCCCACGGAAGGGUUCACUGGUUCAAAUCAGUAUCGCCCA